rnacentral:tRNA from 1 species
CCCUGUAGCUUAGUUGGUAGAGCAUGGUGUUUGCAACACCAGGGUUGUGGGUUCAAUUCCCACAGGGG